UGUAUGUAUUACCUUAAUGUAUACAUCGAAUGCAUAUAAAUUUUAACGGUGAAAAAAUAAAGAAAUUAAAUGAUGUGAGAUUUAUAAUAUACACUUGUCAAUUAAUAAAGCUAUGGUACCCUCAUACUUAUGUGGCAUACCUCACUCAAAAUAAAUUUUUUCACUUGGUGGGUAUAUCUCACUCAUAAUAAAAAUUUUCUCUUUCCGCCUCUAUUUCUCUCUCUCGUCUCUAUCCUUGUAGUACUCUUUCUUCAGUGAAAUCUUGAAAUCCGAAAUAGCUGAUAUUCCGUUCACUAUCUCAAACAGCUUUUCCGCUAAUGCUUCUCUUUCUUCUUCCGUUGCCUUUGAAUAAUUCAAAGAUCCAAAAUUUCCAAAUGAAAUUUUUAAUAGUUAUUAAAAAAAAUGUUUAAAGAACCUAUAAAUAUGAGCUGAGGUAAGGUGAUUGUGAUGCUCGAGUGCUAAAUUUGACGAGAAAAUCUGGUCGUCUUCGUCCUCGUGGACUUCAUGAGAGAAGAAAGACGGAGAAAUAGAAAGAAAAAUGACGUAAUUUAGAUAGAGUGUUGUUCAGACGGCACGACUUUAGCUGGAACUCUUUUAAUUAUCGAUUGGCUUUGACGGCUUUAUAAGGUCUCAAUGAAGUUUAUUGUCGGAAUGUUUGUCGGUAAUUGUCACCGGCGGUGAAUGGCUUUCCUCAUUUUUAAAUUUUGUGGUGCUAAAUGAAAAACUGAAAUUAAAAUAUUGUCAAAAAAGUAAAGAGGUCAUUUUUUUUUAAAUGAAUUAGUAGCUCACUCGUUUCGAAACAAGGGGAGUAGUAGUUAUACAUAGUUAAAAUUAAUUUUAUGUAUAUAUAAUUGAUGAUGAACCUCCUUCGAUUAGUUCGUAUGUUUAUUUCUGAACGCCUUAGUAAAAAUUUUGAUUCCAACAUUAAUUAUACAGUAAUAUACAUAAUUAAACAAUAAUAUACAAAUUUGAAUAUUUGUGUGGAUAAACAUUCUUAUACAAUAGAAUGACCUGAACUAUAUAUUACCAUACACCCUCAUUCAUUUGAUUAUACCCCAUAAAAAUACAAAAAUAAAUAAUCCUUAACAAAAUUUUUAAUAAAUUUUAUCUUAUUUUAAUUUUAUCCUAACCAACUUUAUAUUUUAUCCUACCAACCUACCCCACCCAAUACCCCUCCCCACGCGGAUCCCCUCACAUUUCUUCUACACAAAGGAAAAAGUGAAACAUACAUACCCAUUGGAAUGGGGACCCAGCACGAAUUUUGCUUCCCUUCAAAAGAAAAACAAUGAAGUUGCAGUGAGAAAAAGGAAAGCACACACUCAUUCACCUUUUCUUCUUCACGGGCACACACACAAGAACCUUCCAUUCUUCAAUUCUCCACACAUAUCCACUCAUUCGCACAGAAUUCUCUACACACUACACAGAGCUCACAAUAAUCGCUCAUCCUCACUGAUUUGCACACACCCACAUACUGGUGUACGCACACAUCACCGGAAAGGGAGAAAUAUAGCUGAAUUGGAGAUCGGUAAAGGUGAACGGAGGGAGAUAGGUUGGAAACAGUGAAGGAACGGGAGAGCGGAGAUCGGACAAGACAACACCGACGGGAAAAGAGAGAAAUCGCAAGAGAGAAGGAUUUUUCCGGCGGUUUCUCACCGGAAAACGUUGCUACCGUCCUUUAUUCUCCGUUUCGUUCAUUGUUGGAGCUCACCGGAGCUCCGACGAUACGAAGAAGUAAACCCAACUCCAUCCCGACCAAAUUGACUAAGUCCGAUCCGUUUCACGUCUGACUCCGUUUGAAACUCACCGGAAAACGUCUCAAAACCGCCCAAAAUAGUUCCAUGAUGCGGUUGUUCCGGUGAAAACCCCAAUCGGAAAACUAUAUCGAAGUUGGUUUUGUUCGAUUGGCGAGUUCAAAGUCGAGGUUCAUUGAUUCUCGAGGUUUCUUCGCUGUUGAAAUCAGUUCAAGUUGAUUGAAUAAAAGAAACCUUUGAGAAACGGAGAAUGAUCGGAGCCUUUCAUCUGGAAAAUUUGUUUAGGUGGAUUGGAAUCUAUCAUGGCCUCCUGAAGGGACACUGGAAUAGCAAAAUCUUCUAGCGUUUUUACGUAGAAUCGUGGGAUAGAACCAUAAUUUGUUGCAGAUAGGGAAUGCUUCUCUGUCAGUGAUGCACAAAGGGGAUUGGCCUUAAUAAUCCUAAUGCUAAUUCAACAACCUGAAAAUCAAGAGAUAGUGUCAAAAUGACUUUCUCUAUCACAAAAAACUGCAAUGUUGAUGACUACAAGAAAAAGUUCUUUUCUACAAUGUUGAUGACUACACGAUAAAACUAUUCGGAAUAGAAACAAUUCUGCUCUACAAUGUUGAUGAAUAAUGACUACAAGAAAUGGAGGCGGAGCAAGACUUUGAAGUUUAUUGGUCCUGAACUUGCCAUCAAAUCCAUAGCUCAUCUUAGUUACUGUUUCUGUAAUUAAAUAUUUUAUGUACAUCUAAGCAAAGGGUACUUCCGUCCGAAACCAUAUUUAGUACACUAGCUCCAA